ensembl:misc_RNA Metazoa_SRP Metazoan signal recognition particle RNA
GCCAGGCAUAGUGGUGUGAGCCUGAAAUCCCAGAUCCUAGGGAGGCUGAGGUAGGAGGAUCACUUGAGCCCAGGGGGGUCUAGGCUGCAGUGAGCCAUGAUCAUGCCACUGCACUCUAGCCUGGGCAAUAGGGCGAGACCCUGUCUCAA